GAUGGCACUUAAGUAGCAGACCUAUGGCGCUGGAAAUUCAAAUAUAAUAAAUAGGACUGGAAAUACGAAGAAACUAGGUAUGUCUUUCUCGACUCUUGAGAGAUUAAAGAAAGUUGCUCAAGAACUGUGUCAAACAAGUUUAGAAAUGAGCGUAAACUCGGCACUCUCACAGAGAGCAGCUCAUCCAGAACCUGACGUGCUGCUAACCUUGAACCGAAAGUUGGAGUGGACGCAGGAGAGGAUCAACCAGUUGGAUGUGUACGAGAGGAAAGACAAAAUAAGACAGAAAAGGACCUUCGUACAUGCCAGCAAGGAAUCCCUGGAGAACAGG